GGUAUUUUGGCUGUGCUAGGGGUGUGAUUGUAUAGCAGGAGAGGGGGGUAUUUUGGCUGUGCUAGGGGUGUGAUUGUAUAGUAGGAGAGGGGGGUAUUUUGGCUGUGCUAUGGGUGUGAUUGUAUAGUAGGAAUGGGAGGUAUUUUGGCUGUGCUAGGGGUGUGAUUGUAUAGCAGGAGAGGGGGGUAUUUUGGCUGUGCUAUGGGUGUGAUUGUAUAGUAGGAGAGGGGGGUAUUUUGGCUGUGCUAUGGGUGUGAUUGUAUAGUAGGAGAGGGG